rnacentral:rRNA from 1 species
AUUGAACGCUGGCGGCAGGCCUAACACAUGCAAGUCGAGCGAGCGGCGGACGGGUGAGUAAUGUAUGGGGACUGCCCGAUAGAGGGUGAUAACUACUGGAAACGGUAACUAAUACCGCAUACUAUCGGAUAACCCAUAUGUGAUUAUCUAGUUGGUGAGGUAAUGGCUCACCAAGGCGACGAUCCCUAGCGGGUCUGAGAGGAUGCUCAGCCACACUGUGACCGAGACACGGCCCAUACUCCUACGGAGGCAGCAGUGGGGAAUAUUGCACAAUGGCCGCAAGCCUGAUGCAGCCAUGCCGCGUGUAUGAAGAAGGCCCUAGUGUUGUAAAGUACUUUCAGUCGGGAGGCGUUACCGACAGAAGAAGCACCGGCUAACUCCGUGCCAGCAGCCGCGGUAAUUC